AUUGGCAACCCUUAGGAGGAAAGAGAUGAAUCAUAAGGGAUUGUGGAAUCAUUAGAAAUUGAGGAUUAGAACAUCCGAGAUUAAAAUGUCUCACACGUCAGUGCAGCAGAAUUUCCCAGCGACUUCGGUGGCGGGAGAGCAGCACCUCUCAGGGACAGCUGUGCGCAUCCCUCGGGCCCCACCGACCGCACCAUCUGACCUGCGGGAAACGAAAUCUGAGCUCAGGAAUUUGAACGGCCCCACGCACGUUCAUUCCCGGAUACAUCUUCUAGAGGACCGUGAUUUUUCCACUUAGAGAUUAUUUAGGGAGAUGUCCUGGAUGGGACAGGUAGACAAAUGGCGGCCCGAGGAAAAUGCAGGAUCUACAUUGUAGACGCUUAAGCACCAACUGUCUGGGCCCCGGGGCAGAGGGGACGGGGGACAUUACCCACCGGAAACAUCACACCCCCGGGGCUCCUGGCAUUUUCUACAUCAGUGAAUGUGCCAGCGAAGAGUGUGGGGAAAUUUUCUGAACAUAGAAUUCAUAUUCCUGAAACUUUAAGUCGUGAAGUGGGUGCUUCAGCUGUCCCCCAGCUUUAGGAUUUUAACCCAGCUUUGGUUUUAAUCACCAAGAGUUAUUCCUUAUAAUCAGAUCAGCAAAAGCGUUCCAUUACCUAUUACUGGUUGAGAAAGAUUCCGUUCCCCCAGCUCAUUGUAUCGGUUCUCGGAUCCAAGAUGUUAAUAUUGGCCAGGCAUUCACAGGGGGUUAAUAUGGCCCCCCCUCGACACCUUGCCUCGUACCAGAGACACCAAAAGCUGCUGCUGAGGGAUAAUGGAGAAUGGGAAAAGUUGGUCAUGAAAAACCUCUUUUAUUCUUACUUGCAAGCUACGCUUUUGACAUUCUUUUUUUGACACUAAAUGGAGAUUACUGAAUUGAUAACUUUUGGGUUUUCUCUGUCACACUGGGUUUUUUUUCCCCCGUUUGUUUGUAAGGUUUUUUUGGUUUU
rnacentral:lncRNA from 1 species